UACGAAGGGGGCUAGCGUUGCUCGGAAUCACUGGGCGUAAAGCGUACGUAGGCGGAUCUUUAAGUCAGGGGUGAAAUCCCAAGGCUCAACCUUGGAACUGCCUUUGAUACUGGGGAUCUCGAGUCCGGAAGAGGUGAGUGGAACUGCGAGUGUAGAGGUGAAAUUCGUAGAUAUUCGCAAGAACACCAGUGGCGAAGGCGGCUCACUGGUCCGGUACUGACGCUGAGGUGCGAAAGCGUGGGGAGCGAACAGG
rnacentral:rRNA from 1 species